UAGCGUCGAUGUUCAUGAUCUCGUUUUGUUUCUAUACAUUCAAUCCUACAAGAGUCUCCUCCCGCUGACGCCUAAGGAUUCCGCCGCUGUAGCGGAUGUUUGGCCUUCCACUUCCGCUUUUGAUGGAUACUUGUUCGCUCUCACGCCGCUUCAGCUUGUGCGGAGCAACAGUAAGCGGUUUACGCCGUCGCAGGGUGAUGAAGAAGCACAUCAGCUGUCUUAUCUGCAAAAGCAUUUGGCUAAUAUUGUGUCUCUACUAGCAGAGCCUGUGGAGGGGGAAAGUGAAGAAUCUCUGGUUUGUUUGUUUGUUUACUGCGUGCUUCCAUGAGUUACUGACUUUGGCUGCAUUGCUUUAUAUUUUUCAUAUUAUCAAUACUAAUCAAUUGGCAAUAUAAGUAAAUAAAAUUUUUGAUUAUACUGCAUAUGUGACUUUUAAGGAAGCUUAUGCCCUGGGAACUGCAUUAUUGCUUAAUGGUUCGAUGAUUUUGGACCAAAGCAUUUCCAUUUCACGUUGGGAAGCUUAUACAGAUGACAAUAAUUGGAACAGGCAUAACGUUGAAGACAGUAUUACAUGCUCUCAAAUUGCUAUAACAUCUUACGGAUUGGGCGUGUUAAUGUGAUCGGAGACGUUAUCUUAUUCCUCGAAAAACUAUGUGUCAGCCUCUCAAGUGCUGUUUUCGCUUUCCUCAUGUUAGACACUCAAAUACAAAUCCGCGCAUAACAAGAUUUCAUCUCCGUUCUUUCCUGUCAUGUUAUGUUUUUAUUACCUAACAUCACCAUAAUCGAUAACAAUCACCAUAAAAAUACAUUCUGCAUAAGCAUGCUUAACACACAGUUUUAAUCUAAUCUCAAUUUCUCAUGUGGCAGAGGCGCUGUACGAUUCUUUCCAAAAG